ACUCAUGCAUGCUGUGCAUUAUUGUGGGUUUUAUUGUUGUGGAGCUCUGUGAUACACUCUUGCAUGCUGUGCAUUAUUGUGAGUUUUAUUGCUGUGGAGCUCUGUGAUACACUCUUGCAUGCUGUGAAUUAUUGUGAGUUUUAUUGCUGUGGAGCUCUGUGAUACACUCAUGCAUGCUGUGAAUUAUUGUGAGUUUUAUUUCUGUGGAGUUCAGUGAUA